AGUUUCUUAAAAGCCUUGCACCCACUGGACUUCUGUGGGGCCAUCCUUUCCUCCAGCUGAAGAGCAGACCCAUACCUUUACAUUUCGGUAGUUGUACUUGUGUGUCCGAGGACUUUUCAAGCAGGCCAAGAGGAGUGAGUGACCCUCCCAGUACCAACUUCUUGGCUCAUUUCAGAGACAAAAAGAAGUCAUGGAGCUCCUUGGGCAUCCCAGAGAUGAGCACGGGCCCUGGUUUCACUAUUGAAUGGUGGAGAUGUCCAUUUCUCCAAUGCUUUCUCUAGAGUCCUGUGCACUACCAAGGAAGCUUCUCUCACAUCGUUGAUGCCCAUCAAGACUACCACUAUAUUGUUUUGUGAGCACUCAACACUAAAAAGCAACGGGAGGCUCACAGCAACUACUGCAGAAGCAGAUGAAGAUUUCAAGGAUUGGAGGCAUCUAGCCCAUACACUGUCUCAAAGCAGAUGGCCGGGACCCAGAACUCCUUUUAUUUACUUAUGUUUUUCUGUUUAAAGAUUCAUAAUAAAUUACUUCCUAAGAGGUCAACGAUGAGUACAGAAAAGUGACAAACGAAGAAAACACUGCUUGGUGGCUGCUAACUGCAUGUGGCUAUUUAACUUUUAAUUAAAAUAUUUUUUAAAAUGUUAAUAAACUUAUAUCUUACCCUCUUGGUAAUACUAACCAUACUGCAUGUGGGAAAUCCCCCAAACACAGCUCAACUUCUCAAGGCUUCAUAAAAACUAAAACUAGCUUCUAUGAAGUCAGAAAAAGAUCUAAACCUUGCCUGAUUUAAAGCUAAAUACAAGUGAGUAAUUCAUGAAAAUGAGUGGCAGUAAAUUCAGAAGGCAGAAACCAUACAAACUUAUCAGCAUAAGAAGAGGAAGAAGAGAAGGAAGAAGAAGAGGAGGAGAUCAGGAAAUUCCUACAGAUAAUGAAGGGAUGUGGAGAGCCGUAAGUAAUCGCCAUUACAAGAUGGCACUGGCUCCCGCUGUGCCUAACUAGUAAACAAGCAUUGUGCACAGGUGCGAGAGUGAAUUCAAGCCAAGUCACUGCCCAUCUCCGGGCGUAGUAUUUAUUGAGGUGAUGGGCGAGCAACAAAUCAGGUGCUAACACGCCACGCUGAGGGCUAUAUAAGCAGCACCAUUUUCCGGGUUCUGGGUCUUCCUUCCUGAAGAAGCAAUAAAGCUUUUGCUGCAG
rnacentral:lncRNA from 1 species